AGUGGAUGGGGAGCAACCUAGUUGUGCGUGUGUAAAGGUAGUGCCAAGAGAAGCGGUGAUCAUGAUGAAAAUCAAUUCCCGGUACCCGAAACCGACACAGGUGGGUAGGUAGAGUAUACUAAGGGGCGCGAGAUAACUCUCUCUAAGGAACUCGGCAAAAUGACUCCGUAACUUCGGGAGAAGGAGUGCCUUAUUUAUAAGGUUGCAAUGACAAGAUCCAAGCAACUGUUUAUCAAAAACACAGGUCUCCGCUAAGUCGUAAGACGAUGUAUGGGGGCUGACGCCUGCCCAGUGCCAGAAGGUUAAAGAAGUUGGUUAGUGUAUGCGAAGCUGAUGACUGAAGCCCUGGUGAACGGCGGCCGUAACUAUAACGGUCCUAAGGUAGCGAAAUUCCUUGUCGGGUAAGUUCCGACCCGCACGAAAGGCGUAAUGAUUUGGAUACUGUCUCGGAGAGAGGCUCGGUGAAAUAGACUUGUCUGUGAAGAUGCGGACUACCUGCACCAGGACAGAAAGACCCUAUGAAGCUUUACUGUAACUUGAAAUUGGAAUUGGACUUUGCUUGCGCAGUAUAGGUGGGAAGCGUUGAAGAUAUUCUUGCGGGAGUAUUGGAGCUAUCAGUGAGAUACCACUCUUGUAAUGUUAGAUUUCUAACUUUGAACCAUAAUCUGGUCAAAGAACAGUUUCAGGUGGGCAGUUUGACUGGGGCGGUCGCCUCCCAAAUGGUAACGGAGGCGUACAAAGGUUUCCUCUGAACGGAUAGAAAUCGUAUCUAGAGUGUAAAGGCAUAAGGAAGCUUGACUGUGAGACCUACAAGUCGAGCAGGGACGAAAGUCGGUCUUAGUGAUCUGACGGUACUGAGUGGAAAGGCCGUCACUCAACGGAUAAAAGUUACUCUAGGGAUAACAGGCUGAUCUCCCCCAAGAGUUCACAUCGACGGGGAGGUUUGGCACCUCGAUGUCGGCUCAUCGCAUCCUGGGGCGGUAGUACGUCCCAAGGGUUGGGCUGUUCGCCCAUGAAAGCGGUACGCGAGCUGGGUUCAGAACGUCGUGAGACAGUUCGGUCCAUAUCCGGUGUAGGCGUUAGAAUAUUGAGAGGAGCCUUCUUUAGUACGAGAGGACCGAGAAGGACACACCGCUGGUGUACCAGUUAUCGUGCCAACGGUAAACGCUGGGUAGCUAUGUGUGGAGUGGAUAACCGCUGAAAGCAUCUAAGUGGGAAGCCCACCUCAAGAUGAGUAUUC
rnacentral:rRNA from 1 species